rnacentral:rRNA from 1 species
GAUCCUGGCUCAGGAUGAACGCUAGCUACAGGCUUAACACAUGCAAGUCGAGGGGCAGCAUUCCAGUUUGCUUGCAAACUGGAGAUGGCGACCGGCGCACGGGUGAGUAACACGUAUCCAACCUGCCGAUAACUCGGGGAUAGCCUUUCGAAAGAAAGAUUAAUACCCGAUGGCAUAAUAGAACCGCAUGGUUUGAUUAUUAAAGAAUUUCGGUUAUCGAUGGGGAUGCGUUCAUUAGG